AAUUCCGCGUUGGACAAUCCGCCCACAUUCUUUAACACAUCGUAGGCCUCCGAAAUCAGCUGCAUAUCACCGUACUCUAUCCCAUUAUGCACCAUCUUAACAAAAUUCCCUGAACCCCCUUCACCAAUAUAAGUGACACACGGACCAUCUUCUACCUGGGCAGCUACUUUCUGCAAUAUAUCCUUAAUAUUAUUAUACGCUUCAAAAGAUCCACCAGGCAUCAAAGACGGACCGUGACG
rnacentral:misc_RNA from 1 species